GACGAACCGUGCGAACGUUAUUCGGAAUCACUGGGCGUAAAGGGCGCGUAGGCGGAUGGCACAGUCAGAUGUGAAAUUCCCGGGCUUAACCUGGGGGCUGCAUUUGAUACGUGUUGUCUAGAGUGAGGAAGAGGGUUGUGGAAUUCCCAGUGUAGAGGUGAAAUUCGUAGAUAUUGGGAAGAACACCGGUGGCGAAGGCGGCAACCUGGUCCUUGACUGACGCUGAGGCGCGAAAGCGUGGGGAGCAAACAGG
rnacentral:rRNA from 1 species